AUGAACGCUGGCGGCGUGCUUAACACAUGCAAGUCGAGCGAAGCAGUUUAAAUGAGACUUCGGUGGAUUUUUAAAACUGACUGAGCGGCGGACGGGUGAGUAACGCGUGGAUAACCUGCCUCACACAGGGGGGAUAACAGUUAGAAAUGACUGCUAAUACCGCAUAAGCGCACGGCAUCGCAUGAUGCAGUGUGAAAAACUCCGGUGGUAUAAGAUGGACCCGCGUUGGAUUAGCUAGUUGGUGAGGUAACGGCCCACCAAGGCGACGAUCCAUAGCCGACCUGAGAGGGUGACCGGCCACAUUGGGACUGAGACACGGCCCAAACUCCUACGGGAGGCAGCAGUGGGGAAUAUUGCACAAUGGGCGAAAGCCUGAUGCAGCGACGCCGCGUGAGCGAAGAAGUAUUUCGGUAUGUAAAGCUCUAUCAGCAGGGAAGAUAAUGACGGUACCUGACUAAGAAGCACCGGCUAAAUACGUG
rnacentral:rRNA from 1 species